rnacentral:tRNA from 1 species
GGAGACGUAUCGAAGUGGUCAUAACGAGCUCGACUCGAAAUCGAGUUGUCGGCAAAACCGGCACGUGGGUUCGAAUCCCACCGUCUCCG